rnacentral:sRNA from 1 species
UGUGCUUCAACAGCGAGGAGAGGUUCUCGC